rnacentral:rRNA from 1 species
GACGAACGCUGGCGGCGUGCUUAACACAUGCAAGUCGAACGGAAAGGCCCUGUUUGCAUGGUACUCGAGUGGCGAACGGGUGAGUAACACGUGGGUGAUCUGCCCUGCACUUCGGGAUAAGCCUGGGAAACUGGGUCUAAUACCGGAUAGGUGCCAUCUUUAGAGAGAUGGUUGGAAAGUUUUUUCGGUGUAAGAAGAGCUCGCGGCCAAUCAGCUUGUUUGUGGGGUAAUUGCCUACGAAGGCGGCGACGGGUAGCCGGCCUGGGAGGGUGGACGGCCCCCAUGGGACUGCGAUACGGCGCAGACUCCUACGGGAGGCAGCAGUGGGGAAUAUUGCACAAUGGGCGCAAGCCUGAUGCAGAGACGCCGCGUGGGGGAUGACGGACUUCGGGUUGUGAACUCCUUUCGCUAGGGACGAAGCAUUUUGUGACGGUACCUAGAUAGGAAGCACCGGCUAACUACGUG